rnacentral:rRNA from 1 species
UACGUAGGGUCCGAGCGUUGUCCGGAAUUACUGGGCGUAAAGCGCGCGCAGGCGGCCCGCGAGGUGUCACGUGAAAGCCCCGGGCUCAACCCGGGAGGGUCGUGGCAAACCGGCGGCUUGAGGCCGGUAGAGGUGGGUGGAACUCCUGGUGGAGUGGUGAAAUGCGUAGAGAUCAGGAAGAACACCCGUGGCGAAGGCGGCC